GGGGGCAUAGCCAAGCGGUAAGGCAGAGGUCUGCAAAACCUCGAUCCCCGGUUCGAAUCCGGGUGCUCCCUCCA
rnacentral:tRNA from 1 species